rnacentral:rRNA from 1 species
ACUCCUACGGGAGGCAGCAGUGGGGAAUAUUGGACAAUGGGCGAAAGCCUGAUCCAGCAAUGCCGCGUGAGUGAUGAAGGCCUUAGGGUUGUAAAGCUCUUUUACCCGGGUAUGAUAAUGACAGUACCGGGAGAAUAAGCUCCGGCUAACUCCGUGCCAGCAGCCGCGGUAAUACGGAGGGAGCUAGCGUUGUUCGGAAUUACUGGGCGUAAAGCGCACGUAGGCGGCUUUGUAAGUCAGAGGUGAAAGCCUGGAGCUCAACUCCAGAACUGCCUUUGAGACUGCAUCGCUUGAAUCCAGGAGAGGUGAGUGGAAUUCCGAGUGUAGAGGUGAAAUUCGUAGAUAUUCGGAAGAACACCAGUGGCGAAGGCGGCUCACUGGACUGGUAUUGACGCUGAGGUGCG